GGCGUGGUAGCCAAGUGGUAAGGCAGAGGACUGCAAAUCCUUUAUUCGCGGGUUCGAUUCCCGCCCACGCCU
rnacentral:tRNA from 1 species